rnacentral:tRNA from 1 species
UGCCGACGUUGCCCGAGUUGGCGAUGCCGGUAUUGGUGUGGCCGGUGUUGAACCAGCCGGGUGUUGAUGGUGCCCGGGUUGAACCCCCCGGUGUUGGUGUC